rnacentral:rRNA from 1 species
AACGUAGGAGACAAACGUUAUCCGGAGUUACUGGGCGUAAAGGGCGUGUAGGUGGUUUUGUAAGUCUGGCGUGAAAUUUUUCGGCUUAACCGGGAAAGGUCGUCGGAUACUGCAGGACUAGAGGACGGUAGAGGCGUGUGGAAUUCCGGGUGUAGUGGUGAAAUGCGUAGAGAUCCGGAGGAACACCAGUGGCGAAGGCGACACGCUGGGCCGUACCUGACACUGAGGCGCGAAAGCGUGGGGAGCGAUCCGG